GUGGGGAAUCUUAGACAAUGGGGGAAACCCUGAUCUAGCCAUGCCGCGUGAGCGAUGAAGGCCUUAGGGUUGUAAAGCUCUUUCAGCUGGGAAGAUAAUGACUGUACCAGCAGAAGAAGCCCCGGCUAACUCCGUGCCAGCAGCCGCGGUAAUACGGAGGGGGCUAGCGUUGUUCGGAAUUACUGGGCGUAAAGCGCACGUAGGCGGACCGGAAAGUCAGAGGUGAAAUCCCAGGGCUCAACCUUGGAACUGCCUUUGAAACUCCUGGUCUUGAGGUCGAGAGAGGUGAGUGGAAUUCCGAGUGUAGAGGUGAAAUUCGUAGAUAUUCGGAGGAACACCAGUGGCGAAGGCGGCUCACUGGCUCGAUACUGACGCUGAGGUGCGAAAGCGUGGGGAGCAAACAGGAUUAGAAACCCGAGUAGUCC
rnacentral:rRNA from 1 species